UGGUUCUGGCAUCGAUGAAGAACGCAGCGAAAUGCGAUAAGUAGUGUGAAUUGCAGACUUUAGUGAAUCAUCGAAUCUUUGAACGCACAUUGCGCCCCUUGGUAUUCCAUUGGGCAUGCCUGUUCGAGCGUCAUUUAACCCCUUCAAGCACAGCUUGGUGUUGGGUGUUUGUUCGCGAUAUCAGCGUGGACUCGCCCUAAAAACAUUGGCAGCGGCUUGCCAGCCUCUCGUGCAGCACUUUGCGCUUCUUGAGGCUCUGGUGAGCUUGCGUCCAUCAAGAUCACCCCCAUUUUGACCUCGAAUCAGGUAGGGAUACCCGCUGA
rnacentral:misc_RNA from 1 species